AUUGAACGCUGGCGGCAGGCUUAACACAUGCAAGUCGAGCGAGCGGCGGACGGGUGAGUAAUGUCUGGGACACUGCCUGGGGGAGGGGGAUAACUUCUGGAAACGGUAGCUAAUACCGCAUAAUAUCAGGUGUCCCGAUAUGGGAUUAGCUAGUAGGUGGGGUAAUGGCUCACCUAGGCGACGAUCCCUAGCUGGUCUGAGAGGAUGACCAGCCACACUGGAACUGAGACACGGUCCAGACUCCUACGGGAGGCAGCAGUGGGGAAUAUUGCACAAUGGGCGCAAGCCUGAUGCAGCCAUGCCGCGUGUGUGAAGAAGGCCUUCGGGUUGUAAAGCACUUUCAGCGGGGAGGCGUUACUCGCAGAAGAAGCACCGGCUAACUCCGUGCCAGCAGCCGCGGUAAUUC
rnacentral:rRNA from 1 species